UCUCUGUGUAUUUUAUGCCUGGAAAUGUGUAUGAUUCAGUUUUUUAGCUACUAUCAAACGGCCGCAACAAAUUUAAAAUGUGUAAUAAACUAGCAAUAUUUAUAGCUCUUUUAGUAAUUGUAAUUUGCUUUAUUUACAAAAAUGAAGCUAACGCGGUAAAUAAAACCUUGCAGCAUAUUAUUGAUGUACCUUGUAAGGAGGGAUAUGUUAAGCUUAGAGGAAAAUGUGUUGAACUAUUUGAAUAAACAUAAUCUAAGAUUACCCACUUCCCAAGAAAAUUACAAGUAGUACGUUCCAUGGGUAGCAUCAGGGACAACGCAAUUUUUUUCCGAUUUAUUAACCUUGCUCUAAGGAAAUGAUUAACCAUUAUAACCUCAAAAUUAUCUAUCAUGUUAGUUAAGAUUUGCUAUAUUUAUAAACAAUGAUGUAAACUUUUAAUUUUGUAGCAAAAUAGAUUAUUAAAUUUUAUCA
rnacentral:lncRNA from 1 species